rnacentral:rRNA from 1 species
AGAGUUUGAUCAUGGCUCAGAUUGAACGCUGGCGGAAUGCUUUACACAUGCAAGUCGAACGGCAGCAUAGGUGCUUGCACCUGAUGGCGAGUGGCGAACGGGUGAGUAAUACAUCGGAACGUGCCCAGUCGUGGGGGAUAACGUAGCGAAAGUUACGCUAAUACCGCAUACGAUCUACGGAUGAAAGCGGGGGACCGUAAGGCCUCGCGCGAUUGGAGCGGCCGAUGUUAGAUUAGGUAGUUGGUGGGGUAAAGGCUCACCAAGCCGACGAUCUGUAGCUGGUCUGAGAGGAUGAUCAGCCACACUGGGACUGAGACACGGCCCAGACUCCUACGGGAGGCAGCAGUGGGGAAUUUUGGACAAUGGACGCAAGUCUGAUCCAGCCAUUCCGCGUGCAGGAUGAAGGCCCUCGGGUUGUAAACUGCUUUUGUACAGAACGAAAAGGUCCUGGUUAAUACCUGGGGCUCAUGACGGUACUGUAAGAAUAAGCACCGGCUAACUACGUGCCAGCAGCCGCGGUAAU